CCCUAUUAUUUUAGAAUGUUAAUUUUUUGUGCCUGAGUAGUAUUAGUUAUGUUCUUGAAACUUAAAGAAUUUGGCGGUAUCUCAUUCCGUCCAGAGGAAUCUGUCCCGUUAUCGAUAGUCCACGUUGGACCUUACUUAUUUGAUUUUGGUUUGUAUACCGCCGUUUAUUGAUUAUCUUUUUAGGGGUUAUAUUAAUUUUCUGGUAUCUUUAUUUUGAUGUAUUUCAGGUCAAGGUGCAGCUUGUUUUUAAGUGGAAUGAUGGAUUACAUUGUUAUUUGUUUGUGGAUUGUUGGUUUUAAUAUUGGCAUGAAAUUGGAUUUGGUUGUAAUGAUUUGUAGAUUGUUAUUAUGAUAACUGGUUCUGAGAUAUGUACACAUCGCCCGUCGCUCUCGUUUGUUUAUUAUAAUGAGAUAAGUC
rnacentral:rRNA from 1 species